rnacentral:rRNA from 1 species
AUUGAACGCUGGCGGCAGGCCUAACAUUUGCAAGUCGAGCGGUAGAGAGAAGCUUGCUUUUCUUGAGAGCGGCGGACGGGUGAGUAAUGCCUAGGAAUCUGCCUGGUAGUGGGGGAUAACGUUCGGAAACGGACGCUAAUACCGCAUACGUCCUACGGGAGAAAGCAGGGGACCUUCGGGCCUUGCGCUAUCAGAUGAGCCUAGGUCGGAUUAGCUAGUUGGUGAGGUAAUGGCUCACCAAGGCGACGAUCCGUAACUGGUCUGAGAGGAUGAUCAGUCACACUGGAACUGAGACACGGUCCAGACUCCUACGGGAGGCAGCAGUUGGGGAAUAUUGGACAAUGGGCGAAAGCCUGAUCCAGCCAUGCCGCGUGUGUGAAGAAGGUCUUCGGAUUGUAAAGCACUUUAAGUUGGGAGGAAGGGCAGUAAAUUAAUACCUUGCUGUUUUGACGUUACCGACAAAAUUAACACCGGCUAACUCCUGUGCCAGCAACCCGCGGUUAUUACAUAGGGUGCAAAGCGUUAAUCCGAAAUUACUUGGGCGUAAAGCCGCGCGAAAGGUGGGUUUGGUUAGUUGGAAGGGGAAAUCCCCCGGGGUCCAACCCGGGUAACUGCGAUUCAAAACUGAACUGACUUAAAAUAUGGUAGAAGGUGGGGGGGAUUUUCCUGGGGAACCGGGGAAAAUGCUUAAAUUUUGGAAGGAAACCCCCGGGGGCAAAGGGCACCCCCCGGGAACUAAUAAUGGCCAUUGAGGUGGGGAAAGGGGGGGGGGGCAAACCGGAAUUAGAUACCCCGGGUAGUCCCACGCCGAAAACGGAUUUCAAAUUACCGGUGGAAAGCCUUGAGGUUUUUAGUGGGGCCGCUAAACGCAUUAAAUUGACCCGCCUUGGGGAGUACGGCCGCCAAGGUUAAAACCCAAAAAGGAUUGACGGGGGGCCCGCACAAGCGGUGGAGCAUGUGGUUUAAUUCGAAGCAACGCGAAGAACCUUACCAGGCCUUGACAUCCAAUGAACUUUCUAGAGAUAGAUUGGUGCCUUCGGGAACAUUGAGACAGGUGCUGCAUGGCUGUCGUCAGCUCGUGUCGUGAGAUGUUGGGUUAAGUCCCGUAACGAGCGCAACCCUUGUCCUUAGUUACCAGCACGUCAUGGUGGGCACUCUAAGGAGACUGCCGGUGACAAACCGGAGGAAGGUGGGGAUGACGUCAAGUCAUCAUGGCCCUUACGGCCUGGGCUACACACGUGCUACAAUGGUCGGUACAGAGGGUUGCCAAGCCGCGAGGUGGAGCUAAUCCCACAAAACCGAUCGUAGUCCGGAUCGCAGUCUGCAACUCGACUGCGUGAAGUCGGAAUCGCUAGUAAUCGCGAAUCAGAAUGUCGCGGUGAAUCCCUUCAGUGGCCU